UACGUAGGGUGCAAGCGUUGUCCGGAAUUAUUGGGCGUAAAGAGCUCGUAGGCGGCUCGUCGCGUCGGCUGUGAAAACCUGGGGCUCAACCCCGGGCCUGCAGCCGAUACGGGCGAGCUAGAAUUCGGUAGGGGAGACGUGGAAUUCCUGGUGUAGCGGUGAAAUGCGCAGAUAUCAGAGGAACACCGGUGGCGAAGGCGGGUCUCUGGGCCGAUAUUGACGCUGAGGAGCGAAAGCGUGGGGAGCGAACAGG
rnacentral:rRNA from 1 species